CAGUUCAGCCUCUGUCCAAAGUCACAUUCAUUUUUAUUCAACUUUCAUUUAUGGACAGUAGACAGCAGUUAUUUGUCCGUUAGCAAUUCUUUCAGUUACUGAUGUAAGCAGAGUGUGUAUGUAUUGGCCAUAUGUGUACUUAGACAUGUCAUUUGUAACUUCAACAUCUCCCACCUCUUGCAUACAAAAAAAGACUUUUAAAAUAUACCAUGGGUGCAUUGCCUUCUUAACAAUAUAUAUACACACACGCACGCACGUUUUUUUGUAGUCAAUACUUUAAUAAUAACUAUUGCGAUGGUUGCACUAUGAUUACGCUAUUGGGUGUCUCGCCUUGUUGUUAUAAGCGCUGAUUGGUUGUUUUGACCGUCAUGCAGAUCUCUGGCCUAUGACAAUUCAGCGCGCACUUUUCAACAUUUCAAACUCCUGCAGCCGGUAGUAUUUGCUGACGCUGCUGGAGGAGGAGUUCACUCUGCAGAACUGCUGCAGUACAUCGGUUGGUCCACUCUAUCCGGUAUUUUUUUUAAUUCGGUUGAAUUUAAGUUAGAAAACAUAACAUGGACAAAGACUUUAACCAUCGGGUACCGGACAUAUGGAAAACUGCAGCAGACCGAGAGGAACUUGAACCUGCUCUGUAGAAGAUUAUACAAUCCUGUUUUUCUUGGAUCUACUGUUGGUCGCUGGGACUUAAGUCAAAAUGAGACAGAGGAUGUUUUAUUUGGAACUGCUCCAGAGAAGUCUCCUACCACGUCAUUUUCAAAAGAUCAGCAUUGAAGCAUUGUUUACAGUAAGAAUAGGCACCAACAGAAAGACAAAUCCAACACUAAUGCACCAAGGAUCAAGGUGAUUUUUGGCAGCUUGGAGAAUUUUUCUUUAUCUGUCACAUCUGGUACAGAAUCUCUGACAUUUUGGUAUUUGUAAUGUUUAUUUUAUUAUAUUUGUAUACUUAUGCUAGAUAUUAAUAUACUUGUAUAGUUACUGUAUGUUUCUGAAUUAAAAGAUAGCCCCAGGUAAAAAUGUAAAACUGAUAUAAUACUGAUAUUGAAAAUACAAGCUAAAAUGGCAAAAUUUGUUGCUUUCUCCACCUGUUUCACAAAUGAAAACAUUUUAUAUGCACAGAUUCACUUGCCGGAACUGUACAGAUUUUUUUGUUUAAUUUCAGGCCAAUCUGUAUUGUAGACACAACGUUUGUUAUAUGAAUGCCCCAUCUGAAGGGAGCUGCCUUGAAAAAAAUAUAAAUUACAUUUUCUUUUCGUCUUAUCUCCGUAUAGACCAUGGUUCCUCCCAUCUUACCCUGAAGGUGCCCUGCAGAGUUAGCUCCAACCUUAAGAGGAAAACACCACACUUUUUCAAUAUUUUUUAUGUUAUCACCUCAACUUAAAAAUUAAUACAAACCCUUUUUUUCAAUGCGUGCACUUUUAAUCUUUGUACAGCGCAUCGUGAAUGUGUUAGCAUUUACCCAAGCCCAAUUUAUUCCUUAGGAACAAAACAAAAGUUUUAUUUUGUGCCACCAUACUUACUCUUGUAACUACUCAUGUAACAGUCUUUAAAUAGGAAAAAAACAUGGAAGUGUUUGGUGGCUUUUAAAUUAAUCCCUGUUUGGAUCCUAAGGAAUGAAUGGGGCUAGGCUAAAUGCUAACACAUUCACGUCACGCUGUACAAAGAUUAGAAGUGCAUGCAUUGAAAAAAGAUAGGUAUGUAUUAAUUCAUCUAAGUUGAGAUAAGAACAUAGUAAAAUAUAGAAAAACUGUGUUUCCUCUUUAAUCAAACAUACCUGAGGUAGGUGGGUUUGAUCAGGGUUGAUGCUAAACUUUGCAGGGCAGCGGUUCUCCAGGGUAGGAUGUGAAGAACCCUGUUAUAGAUGGUUUCAGUGACAGUAACAUACAUAAAUGCUUUUGUGGCCCAAACUUAACUUCCGGGAGAUUUCCGUGUAGAACCAAUAUAGGAAAAAACUGAAAUUCUGUCAUAAUUUACUCACUCUCAUUUUGUUACAAACCUGUAUAAAUUUCUUUGUUCUGAUGAACACAAAGGAAGAUAUUUUGAGGAAUGUUUUUAACCAAACAGUUCAUAAGCCCCAUUCACUUCCAUAAUAUUCUUUUUUCCUACUAUGGAAGUGAAUGGGGCUCAUUAGGGCUGUGACGGUUGUCAUAACCACACACAACCGCAGUGGUGAAGUGCGACCCACGGUGGUAAAGUGGGACCCGCGAUGGUGUGCACGUCACAAAGAAAUUUAUUACAAUCUUGCACAGCAAAACUUCCUAUUUUUCAAAGCAUGUAGGUGCUCCAGAGUAUCUGUCAUUGCUAAGUAACCUAAGCAUUGCUUGACGUUGUGACGAGCACCCACCGGCGGAAAAAGAAACUGGUGCCUGUGAACAAGCACGUUUGUUAAGAAAUGUAUAUCUGAUCCUCGUUUAAUUUUUUUUUUUAUACAGUGGGGAAAAUAAGUAUUUGACACAUCAGUAUUUUUAUCAGUAAGGGGAUUUCUAAGUGAUGUAGCCAGAUGCAGCCAUCAAGCCAAAUAUUGAAUUCAUCCAAAGAAAUCAGAACAUUUAAGUAUACACGUUGAGUCAUAAUAAAUAAAGUGAAAUGACACAAGGAAUAAGUAUUGAACACACAUUAUUUAAUACUUUGUAGAAAAGCCUUUGUUGGUGAUUACAGCUUCUAGUUCUUGUAUGGAGAGACCAGUCAUCUGCAUUGCUCAGGAGUGAUUCUGGCUCAUUCUUCCAUACAAAUGGUCUUUAAAUCUUGAAGGUUCAUUGGGCCUCUUUUAUGAACUUUGAUCUUCAGUUCUCUCCAUAGAUUUUCUAUGGGAUUUGGGUCAGGUGAUUGACUGACCACUUUAUUGUUUCCUUGGCCUUGUGUAUAGUUUAGACCUUGAUGCAAGGUCUUCCUGAAGUUCUGCCCGAGUGUCUCUUGGCUCUUGGAGAACUCUCCUGAUUAUUCUUUGCACUCCUCGGACAGGGAUCUUACGUGGAGGACCUGAUCGUAGCCGGUUUAUGGUGAAGUGAUGCUCUUACCAUUUCCAGAUAAUGGCCCCCACAGUGCUCACAGGAACAUUCAGCAUUCUGGAAAUGCGCCUAUAACCAUUCCCAUCAAAAUGCUUUUCAACUAUAAGAUUAAGAAGUUCUUGAGAGAGUUCUUUGCUUACCCAUCAUGAAGUCUUUUCUGUGUGCCUCCUGGGUAAUGAGAAGCAUUUAUAGGCCAUCAGUUGUGUUCAAUACUUAUUCCCUGUGUCAUUUCACUUUAUUUAUUAUGAAUCAACUUGUAUACUUAAAUGUUCCUUUGUAUGAAUUCAAUAUUUGGUUUGAUGGCUACAUCUGGUAGAAAUUUUGUGUCAAUAGCCCACUUCACUACACUGCAUCAAUGUAUAUCAUGCAUCAAUAUAACACCCCCCCCCCCACACACACACACAUUCUAUUACCACCAUGGUGAUCAUGAGAGAGAGAGAGUAAAUGAUGACAGAACUUUCAUUUUUGGGUGAACUAUUUCUUUAACUUACUGUAAUUUCACAAACCUGAAGUCAGACCACUCGUUUUUUUUCUUAAAAUUUUGAAAUUAUAGAACAAUUGUAAUUAUGAUAUUUACAUUAUAGAACAAACAAACAAACCCAAUUUAAAACAAAAACUUCACCUGAUGCUACAAGUAUGUUUCUUUGAUCAUUGUGUUUAAAAUUCACUUGUUGCCUCUAAUUUCAAAUAGCUUCAAAUUGUUUUAAGGCCAUUUAAGUCGGUUAACAAGUAAAUAAACAUCUUAUUUAUGUACUUUUUCUGUUGCCUAAAGAAAAAUAAUCUGCCAAUUUGCUUUACUAAUUUAUCACAAAUUAUAUACAUCAUAAUUACACAAUAGUAACCCUGCAGUCACAAAAUAUCCUGGCUAAUGUUCAACCCAGCAUUGGAUCAAAAAUUGGACAAAACAACCUAGCAUUUUGGUUUGAACCCGCCAGGCAUAGGUUAAAUUCCAACCCAACGGUUUGGGUUUGUCCCUUUUUGAUCCAACACUUGGUUGACAGAAACCCAACAUUUUUUUAUAUUAUAUAGAAUAGAUAAAUUAAUUCGUCAUUUACUUAUGGGGGCUGUUUAUAAAGAAUUGGUUAAUAAUGCAAAUUUACAUCUGUGAUAGAAUCUGUAGUUGUGUGAAACAGUGAAAGUGUUAUCUUGUUAAUGUGUCUGUUUUGUACUUUUUCAGUAUGUUUAGAAUAUUUAACAUUAGCCAUAAAGCUUUCAUUUUAGGAGAAUUUGAUGUAUGAUUUUAGAAAUAUGAUUUUAACAGUAAAAUGUUUCAUCUAUUUCAUGUAAGUUUUGUAAUUCUUUUACUGAAUCAUUCAUUACAUUUUAUACAUUUGCCGAUGUUUGAGAUGAUACACUGUAUAUUCACAGUUUUUUUACACACUAAAAAUCCUGAAUAAAUCUUUUUAAUUUACUA